UGCCAGCCGCCGCGGUAAUACGUAGGGUGCGAGCGUUGUCCGGAAUUAUUGGGCGUAAAGAGCUCGUAGGCGGUCUGUCGCGUCGUUCGUGAAAACUUGGGGCUUAACCCUGAGCUUGCGGUCGAUACGGGCAUGACUUGAGUUCGGCAGGGGAGACUGGAAUUCCUGGUGAAGCGGUGAAAUGCGCAGAUAUCAGGAGGAACACCGGUGGCGAAGGCGGGUCUCUGGGCCGAUACUGACGCUGAGGAGCGAAAGCGUGGGGAGCGAACAGGAUUAGAUA
rnacentral:rRNA from 1 species